rnacentral:sRNA from 12 species
GACCUAACCCGCUAUCUGGCGGCAUGGUCGUCAAAAAUCUAUUGCGAAAUAACAGCUCGUCGUCAGAGUUUCAUUUCGUAAUAGUCGUAACUGGAGACGGUUGCGGGUAGCCUCGGCUAUC